rnacentral:rRNA from 1 species
UGCGAGUCAUUGUAGUAAUACAAGGCAGACGGCUCAGUAACGCGUAGUCAACCUAACCUAUGGACGGGAAUAACCUCGGGAAACUGAGUAUAAUGCCCGAUAGAACACUAUACCUGGAAUGGUUUGUGUUCCAAAUGAUUUAUCGCCGUAGGAUGGGACUGCGGCCUAUCAGUUUGUUGGUGAGGUAAUGGCCCACCAAGACUAUUACAGGUACGGGCCCUGAGAGGAGUAGCCCGGAGAUGGGUACUGAGACACGGACCCAGGCCCUAUGGGGCGCAGCAGGCGAGAAAACUUUGCAAUGUGCGAAAGCACGACAAGGUUAAUCCGAGUGGUUUGUGCUAAACGAACCUUUUGACAGUCCUAGAAGCACUGCUGAAUAAGGGGUGGGCAAGUUCUGGUGUCAGCCGCCGCGGUAAAACCAGCACCUCAAGUGGUCAGGAUGAUUAUUGGGCCUAAAGCAUCCGUAGCCGGCUCUGUUAGUUUUCGGUUAAAUCUGUACGCUCAACGUACAGGCUGCCGGGAAUACUGCAGAGCCUAGGGAGUGGGAGAGGUAGACGGUACUCGGUAGGGAGGGGUAAAAUCCUUUUGAUCCAUUUGAUUGACCACCUGGUGGGCGAAGGGCGGUCUUCCAAGAACACCGUCCCGACGGUGGAAGGGAUGAAAGCCUGGGGGGAAGCAAACCGGGAUUAAGAUACCCCGGGUAGGUCCCAGCUGUAAACUAUGCAAACUUCAGUGACGCAUUGGGCUUGUGGCCCAAUGCAGUGCUGCAGGGAAGCCGUUAAGUUUGCCGCCUGGGGAAGUACGUACGCAAGUAUGAAACCUAAAGGAAUUGGCGGGGG